AGAGUACGAGAUGCUACGGCAUCGAAGCAGUCUAUGUCAUACUUCCAAGAAAAGCUUGCAAUGUCAUAAACAAAUAAUGCCUGUACCAUAACCGACACAGGUGGGUAGGUAGAGUAUACUAAGGGGCGCGAGAUAACUCUCUCUAAGGAACUCGGCAAAAUGACUCCGUAACUUCGGGAGAAGGAGUGCCUUAUUUUUAUAAGGUUGCAAUAACAAGAUCCAAGCAACUGUUUACCAAAAACACAGGUCUCCGCUAAGUCGUAAGACGAUGUAUGGGGGCUGACGCCUGCCCAGUGCCAGAAGGUUAAAGAAGUUGGUUAGCAUUAGCGAAGCUGAUAACUGAAGCCCUGGUGAACGGCGGCCGUAACUAUAACGGUCCUAAGGUAGCGAAAUUCCUUGUCGGGUAAGUUCCGACCCGCACGAAAGGCGUAAUGAUUUGGAUACUGUCUCGGAGAGGGGCUCGGUGAAAUAGACUUGUCUGUGAAGAUGCGGACUACCUGCACCUGGACAGAAAGACCCUAUGAAGCUUUACUGUAACUUGAGAUUGAAAUUGGACUUUAUCUGCGCAGUAUAGGUGGGAGACGUUGAAAAUAUUCUUGCAGGAAUAUUGGAGUCAUCAGUGAGAUACCACUCCUAUAAUGUUAGAUUUCUAACUUUGUAUCAUUAUCUGGUCAAAGAACAGUUUCAGGCGGGCAGUUUGACUGGGGCGGUCGCCUCCCAAACGGUAACGGAGGCGCACAAAGGUUUCCUCUGAACGUGUAGAAAUCGUAUCUAGAGUGUAAAGGCAUAAGGAAGCUUGACUGUGAGACCUACAAGUCGAGCAGGGACGAAAGUCGGUCUUAGUGAUCUGACGGUGCUGAGUGGAAAGGCCGUCACUCAACGGAUAAAAGUUACUCUAGGAUAACAGGCUGAUCUCCCCCAAGAGUUCACAUCGACGGGGAGGUUUGGCACCUCGAUGUCGGCUCAUCGCAUCCUGGGGCGGUAGUACGUCCCAAGGGUUGGGCUGUUCGCCCAUGAAAGCGGUACGCGAGCUGGGUUCAGAACGUCGUGAGACAGUUCGGUCCAUAUCCGGUGUAGGCGUUAGAAUAUUGAGAGGAGCCUUCUUUAGUACGAGAGGACCGAGAAGGACAUACCUCUGGUGUACCAGUUAUCGUGCCAACGGUAAACGCUGGGUAGCCAUGUAUGGAGAGGAUAACCGCUGAAAGCAUCUAAGUGGGAAGCCCACCUCAAGAUAAGUAUUCU
rnacentral:rRNA from 1 species